GACGAACGCUGGCGGCGUGCCUAACACAUGCAAGUCGAGCGAUGAAGUUUCCUUCGGGAAACGGAUUAGCGGCGGACGGGUGAGUAACACGUGGGUAACCUGCCUCAUAGAGGGGAAUAGCCUCCCGAAAGGGAGAUUAAUACCGCAUAAUAUUACAGUUUUGCAUGAAACAGUAAUUAAAGGAGCAAUCCGCUAUGAGAUGGACCCGCGGCGCAUUAGCUAGUUGGUGAGGUAACGGCUCACCAAGGCGACGAUGCGUAGCCGACCUGAGAGGGUGAUCGGCCACAUUGGGACUGAGACACGGCCCAGACUCCUACGGGAGGCAGCAGUGGGGAAUAUUGCACAAUGGGGGAAACCCUGAUGCAGCGACGCCGCGUGAGUGAUGACGGUCUUCGGAUUGUAAAGCUCUGUCUUUGGGGACGAUAAUGACGGUACCCAAGGAGGAAGCCACGGCUAACUACGUGCCAGCCGCCGCAGUAAUAC
rnacentral:rRNA from 1 species